UACGGAGGGGGCUAGCGCUGUUCGGAAUUACUGGGCGUAAAGCGCACGUAGGCGGCUUUGUAAGUUAGAGGUGAAAGCCCGGAGCUCAACUCCGGAAUUGCCUUUAAGACUGCAUCGCUAGAAUUGUGGAGAGGUGAGUGGAAUUCCGAGUGUAGAGGUGAAAUUCGUAGAUAUUCGGAAGAACACCAGUGGCGAAGGCGACUCACUGGACACAUAUUGACGCUGAGGUGCGAAAGCGUGGGGAGCAAACAGG
rnacentral:rRNA from 1 species